rnacentral:rRNA from 1 species
ACUGCUCAGUAACACGUAGCUAACCUACCCUUAAGUCAAGGAUACUCUCGGGAAACUGAGGUUAAUACUUGAUAGGAGAUGUACCCUGGAAUGAUUCAUCUCUCAAACUCGUGCUUAAGGAUGGGGCUGCGGCGGAUUAGGUUGUUGGCGGGGUAAUAGCCCACCAAGCCAAUGAUCCGUAAGGGCUCUUAGCGGAGAGGCCCUGAGAGGGAAUCUGAGACACUAUUCCCAGCCCUACGGGGUGCAGCAGUUAGGAAUCUUCUGCAAUGCGCGCAAGCGUGACAGAUUGAGUCAGAGUGCUUUUCAUAUGAAAAGCUUUUGCCAAAUGUAAAAAGUUUGGCGAAUAAGGACUGGGUAAGACGGGUGCCAGCAGCCGCGGUAAUACGAU